rnacentral:rRNA from 1 species
AACGAACGCUGGCGGCAUGCCUAACACAUGCAAGUCGAACGAGACGGCCGGGUUUUGGGGCGCAGGGCUGGGUGAGGAGUGGGAACUUGCCCGUAGGUUAGGAGUCACUCACCGAGGGGUAUCCUAAUAAAAGUUGAUCUCUUAGGAGAAAAGAUCUAUCGCUGUAGGGUGGGGCCGCGUUGGCUUCGCUGGUUGGUAGGGUAAUAGCCUACCAAGGGGACGAUGCAUAGCUGGUCUGAGAGGAUGACCAGGAACGCUGGGAAUGAGACACGGCCCAGAAUCCUACGCGAGGCAGCAGUGGGGAAUAUUGGACAAGGGGCGCAGGCCUGAUCCAGCAAUGUCGGGUAAGUGAUGCAGGCCUUAGGGUUGUAAAGCUCUUUUACCCGAGAUGAUAAUGACAGUACCGGGAGAAUAAGCUCCGGCUAACUCCGUG